rnacentral:tRNA from 1 species
UGGCUCAGAUGGUAAAGCGUCUGCCUAAAAUGUAGGAGACCCAGGUUCAAUUCCUGG